CGGGAUACCAAAGGAGCAAUCCGCUGAAAGAUGGGCUCACGUCUGAUUAGCUAGUUGGUGGGGUAACGGCUCACCAAGGCUGCGAUCAGUAGCCGGACUGAGAGGUUGAACGGCCACAUUGGGACUGAGAUACGGCCCAGACUCCUACGGGAGGCAGCAGUGGGGAAUAUUGGGCAAUGGGCGAAAGCCUGACCCAGCAACGCCGCGUGAAGGAAGAAGGUCUUCGGAUUGUAAACUUCUUUUAUGAGGGACGAAGGACGUGACGGUACCUCAUGAAUAAGCCACGGCUAACUACGUGCCAGCAGCCGCGGUAAUACGUAGGUGGCAAGCGUUAUCCGGAUUUACUGGGUGUAAAGGGCGCGUAGGCGGGGAUGCAAGUCAGAUGUGAAAUCUAUGGGCUUAACCCAUAAACUGCAUUUGAAACUGUAUCUCUUGAGUGCUGGAGAGGUAGACGGAAUUCCUUGUGUAGCGGUGAAAUGCGUAGAUAUAAGGAAGAACACCAGUGGCGAAGGCGGUCUACUGGACAGUAACUGACGCUGAGGCGCGAAAGCGUGGGGAGCAAACAGGAUUAGAUACCCUG
rnacentral:rRNA from 1 species